AGGGGUAUCGCCAAGCGGUAAGGCACGAGACUCUGAAUCUCGCAUGCAUAGGUUCGAAUCCUAUUACCCCUG
rnacentral:tRNA from 3 species